rnacentral:rRNA from 1 species
CCUACGGGAGGCAGCAGUGGGGAAUUUUGGACAAUGGGCGCAAGCCUGAUCCAGCAAUGCCGCGUGCAGGAUGAAGGCCUUCGGGUUGUAAACUGCUUUUGUACGGAACGAAACGGUGAGCUCUAAUAAAGUUUGCUAAUGACGGUACCGUAAGAAUAAGCACCGGCUAACUACGUGCCAGCAGCCGCGGUAAUACGUAGGGUGCGAGCGUUAAUCGGAAUUACUGGGCGUAAAGCGUGCGCAGGCGGUUAUAUAAGACAGAUGUGAAAUCCCCGGGCUCAACCUGGGACCUGCAUUUGUGACUGUAUAGCUAGAGUACGGUAGAGGGGGAUGGAAUUCCGCGUGUAGCAGUGAAAUGCGUAGAUAUGCGGAGGAACACCGAUGGCGAAGGCAAUCCCCUGGACCUGUACUGACGCUCAUGCACGAAAGCGUGGGGAGCAAACAGGGUUAGAUACCCUGGUAGUCCACGCCCUAAACGAUGUCAACUGGUUGUUGGGUCUUCACUGACUCAGUAACGAAGCUAACGCGUGAAGUUGACCGCCUGGGGGUACGGCCGCAAGUUGAACUCAAAGGAUUGNGNGNGAGNGCGAGACGACGACGAGGAGAGG